AUGUCCCUCCGUCCCACAACACCCCAGGGCGAUGCUCCUCUCUCCCUGGUGCAGGAGUCGCUGCUCCGCUGUCCAGGGGCAGGGGGGCUGCUUUCCUACGGGCAGCCCAGCCCCUCCGAGGUGCCCCAAGCCCUGCUCCCUACCAAAAUCCGCAGAUUUGCCGCGGCUGUGCAGCUCAGCUGCAGCCGCCUGCCCCAAACGAUCAAGUUGCUGAAGAUGCUGAUGGUUUGGGAACCAGUGCCCCCCCAUUGGACCAGCACUAGUGUUAUGCCUCCUGAAACAAGCCCUUUUCGGAGCCUGGCUCAUCCCCACAGCUUACAGUGCAGUUUCCCAGCGACUGUAACAAGAAUUGGCUUUAUCAGCCCAAACGGACCAGUUCCCCCACUGCUAUCCCGUGAGUGUGAGCGGCUCGUGCGCCUCUUCAAAUGUGGUGGGGGAAAAAACGCAGACGAAGCACCCUGCGUUAAGCGGAGAAAAGGCAGAUGCCACAAAUUUAUUAAAGUGGUCGGGAGACUCGAAAGCCAGAGGCAGGAAAUGAAUCUGAGCAAAGAUGAAAACCUGAAGGAAACUCGAGGUUUGGAGGGGAGAGCGGUCGCUCUGGGCCCGGAGCAGCAGGAACCUCAUGAGCGGUGCAGCUGAGCGUGCCAUGCUGAGGAAAAAACACCUCACCAGGCGAAGAAUCUCCUCUUUGCCCCUCAGCUCCAGCUCUUCUCGUGCUGACAAUGAGCCCAGCAGAUCUCCCUACAGCAGCAAGGACAUUUUUUUCCCCCCCUCCUGCCCUGGCGCCUGGCAGGACGGGGCUGGCCGCACGCCUCCGUCACCACCGCCCCAUGGGGAAAUGCCCCGGAGCAGAUCAGCCCCCAGCCGGCCGAGCCUCCCCCCAGCCCCCCGGGAGCAGACAGGAGCUGUCUCCUCGCUAAUCGCCCCCCUGCAGCCCUCUGGCCGAGCCCCUCGCUGCUAUCUGGGGCCAUCGCGGCCGCUCCGCGCUGACUCAGGCGAGAUGCAGGCGGAGAUGCUGCAGGGCCCGCAGGGCUGCAGUGCGAGGCCGGGGGAGGAAAAUCCCGAAUAUACGUGUCUGAAAUGGAGAGCUGGGGCACCGGCUGGUUUCCUAGAUGUUGUUUCAUGACCAACAGUCAGAACCAGACCCCUUUUCUGCCCUGGGGACAGAGGGACAAGAGGCAGCCGCCAGCCCCACUCCCAAGCUGCCCUGACAAACCACACCUCGCCGAGCUGGGUGCUGGCCCGUCCUCCUCGCCCUGAGCAGCAAAUGCCGGUGUUUUUCCUCUUCCUCUGUCAAAUCCCCCAUAAAUUUCCCUUUGCCGGCUCCACCAGCGCCAUGUUCCCGUUAAACUUCCAGGCUGAUUACAUCCGUCAGUGUCACUGUCUGGAGCUGGAAUGUGUCACCCUGCUCCAGAGGAGCCAUUUAUUUAUACGUAGCAGAGCAUUUCAGGACAAAGUGCUGGGCUGGAUCACGUUGGGAUGGUUUUUUCUGCGGUUGUGAGCGCCGAUCCAUCUCGCGCAGCAGAAGGAAAGCGCCGCUGCUGGAUUCUUUCCUAUUUAUUUUUCCUAAACAGAAGGCUGAGGAGGGGGAGAGUUGCCUACCGGCGGGAUCCUGCGCUUCACAGAGUGCCCGAAGCAG
rnacentral:lncRNA from 1 species